UACAGAGGGUGCAAGCGUUGUUCGGAAUUAUUGGGCGUAAAGCGCGUGUAGGCGGCUUUGCAAGUCGGGUGUGAAAGCCCUCGGCUCAACCGAGGAAGUGCGCCCGAAACUGCAGAGCUUGAGUACCGGAGAGGAUGGCGGAAUUCCCCAAGUAGAGGUGAAAUUCGUAGAUAUGGGGAGGAACACCGGUGGCGAAGGCGGACAUCUGGACGGAUACUGACGCUGAGACGCGAAAGCGUGGGGAGCAAACAGG
rnacentral:rRNA from 1 species